AGUGAGCGCUGGCGGUAGGCCUAACACAUGCAAGUCGAACGGCAGCACAGGAGAGCUUGCUCUCUGGGUGGCGAGUGGCGGACGGGUGAGGAAUACAUCGGAAUCUGCCCAGUCGUGGGGGAUAACGUAGGGAAACUUACGCUAAUACCGCAUACGACCUUCGGGUGAAAGAGGGGGAUCGCAAGACCUCUCGCGAUUGGAUGAGCCGAUGUCGGAUUAGCUAGUUGGCGGGGUAAUGGCCCACCAAGGCGACGAUCCGUAGCUGGUCUGAGAGGAUGAUCAGCCACACUGGAACUGAGACACGGUCCAGACUCCUACGGGAGGCAGCAGUGGGGAAUAUUGGACAAUGGGCGCAAGCCUGAUCCAGCCAUACCGCGUGGGUGAAGAAGGCCUUCGGGUUGUAAAGCCCUUUUGUUGGGAAAGAAAUCUUUCAGGCUAAUACCCUGGGAGGAUGACGGUACCCAAAGAAUAAGCACCGGCUAACUUCGUG
rnacentral:rRNA from 1 species